AAAACGACGAUGAAAGAGAAGAGUAGCUUGCCACUCGCCAUCCAGGGAGAAAACGCCGUAGACUGGGAGCGUUUUUAUGGCAGAAGCAAGUGAAUUCACCUCUGGAGUUGACACUUGGACCAUUCCGCGUCUGCGGAAUGUAAAGGUGUUCCGGCCGAUGCCGUUAUCGCAAUGAAGCGAACAGCGCGUUUUUUGCGCUGUUAACAAGGGUGGUACCGCGAGUGCACUCGUCCCUUAU
rnacentral:ncRNA from 1 species